GCGCUGUGGGCGCAGCCCCUGCUUGGCCGCGGCCUCUCCUCCCGCCGCGGGUCCGGCGUGCCCGGUCAUGGCGCUGCCGGUGCUGUCGAGCUCGGCCGUGAAGUUCCGGCGAGUCCUGGCACACUUCCCACAGGAGCUCAGCCUGGCCUUCGCCUACGGCUCGGGGGUGUUCCGGCAGGCGGGGGCCGCGGCCGAGCACGGCGAGAACAAUAUGCUGGAUUUUGUAUUUGCUGUUGAUGAUUCUGUGACCUGGCAUAUGAUGAACUUGUUAAAGAACAGGAGUCAUUAUUCCUUCCUAAAAUUUUUUGGGCCAAAACAGAUAACUAGUAUGCAGAGCUACGGAGCAGGAAUUUACUACAACACUUUAGUGCCAUGUAAUGGUAGGAUGAUAAAAUAUGGUGUUAUUAGCACUGAUACUCUGAUUGAUGAUUUAUUUCACUGGAAAACCCUCUAUGUCGCUGGGCGCCUACAAAAGCCGGUGAAAAUACUGACACAGAAUGAGAAUAGCAAGCUGCAAGCUGCUCUUGUUAGCAACCUGAAGAGUGCAGUCACAGCAGCCUUUCUCAUGUUACCAGAAAGUUUCUCUGAAGAAGACCUCUAUAUGCAGAUUGCAGGACUCUCCUACUCUGGUGAUUUCAGAAUGAUAAUAGGAGAAGACAGAUCGAAAGUGCAGAACAUAGUGAAACCCAACAUUCCUCAUUUUCAGAAGCUGUACAGUACCAUAUUACAGGACUGCCCUCAAGUGGUAUAUAAGCACCAUCUGGGAAGGCUAGAGAUUGAUAAAAGUCCAGAAGGUCAAUUUACACAACUAAUGGCUUUGCCAAAGACUCUGCAGCAAAAGAUAACUUCUCUGGUAAACCCUCCUGGAAAAAACAGAGAUGUGGAAGAAAUUUUACUGCAAGUUGCCCAUGACCCUGACUGUGGAUUUGUGGUGCAUCAAGGCAUUUCAGGAAUUGUGAGAUCUUCCAGUAUAGUGCAGAGUGCUAAAACCAUACUGACAGCUGGGGCAAAGAAAUCUGUAACUUACAGUAUGAAGAAAUUAUAUAAAAUGACAAAGGGAUGGUUAAGGAAGACAUCUUGAGUCUUGACGUAGUAUGUAUGGGUAAAUAAAUGGUACUUUUUAUCUAAAUAUUUUGCAGAUGCCACUUUGCAUACUUGAGAAGAUUACAAUGCAUUUAAGAAGUCCAUUCUAAUGAUUUACAUGCCCAAUUUUAUGAAUGAAAUAGGAACUUUUUAAUGGGAGAAGGUUUGCUGGUAAUAGGGCAAAGGAAUUCUACUCUGUAAAUACUGAACUGUAUUUUCUUGUGUACUAGAGCUUGGAUUUUCAGAAACCCCUAGUAAAAAGAAUUGAUUGUACAUAUGAAUGAAAACCCAAAGCCACUCAUUUUCUAUGUAUUGCUAGCUUUAUUUUCCAAAAUACCCUCAGGCUCUUUCAAAAUAGUCAAGUUCUUUCAGGGACUUAUGGAACUGGAGAGCCCGCUGAAUUUUGUGUAGAUAAGAAACUGUCCUUUCACAUUUCUGCAUUGACAAGUUCAUCCUUAGAAUUCUUCUGAGGAUCCUCACUGGAUGCUUCUGCACAGCAGACCUUAUGGAAAGGACAUUUCUUCUCACGUGUGACAUUCUGAAUCCAAAAAACUUCCACGGUGACUUUCAGUGUGGGAAAGAGAAAUGAGCAGCUUGUCAGGUGUCAGGUUUCAAUCCUUUCAUAAAAAUCCUUUUAUGAGCCUGAGAUGAAAACUGCCCAACUCAUGCCUCAGCCUUGUCAGAAGAGCCAGAGUUGGAGGGAAAAUCAUAAUUCCAUGGACCUACUUGUGCAGACUUAUGAAAUAUGUGUUGUUUGGCAAAAGAUUCUAUCAAAGCACUUUGAAGUUGGGAAUAUUAUGAACAAAAGCACAUAUUGUUUGAUUCUUUGAUUUUAUUUUUUUUCCCCUGAAAAUACUGUCCACAAAGGUGAAACUUGUUUUCCCUUUAAAAAUUAGCUAAACUAAAGAAAAUUGGAGUUUUACAUAACGUGUCAAUCAUGCCAUUAAAGAUUGGACAUUUCUGGCAGUUUUCAUGUGUGGGGCAAUAAAUUUGGAGGAUCUUUUGUAAACAGAAUAUUUUUCACACUCAGGUGGGUUUCCUACUUUGCGAAGUUUAUCUUAUUAGAAAUAAAUUGAGACAAGAUUUAAUUUUGUUUGUGAAAAUGUCAAUGAUAAAAAUAAUUUAAUGGUAAAAAAUGGAAAUAAAAUGUAUCUUUCCUGAUUAGCAUGUUUGUUUUUUUUUCUUGUGUAUUAUCUGAUCAGUAGGGUUAUCUCAAGCUACAUUCAAUUUAGUGAUCUCACUUUAAAUUAUUGGAAUGAAGUUAUCUGCUAAUUGUUUCCAGGGAGCAGUUCAAAGCAUGAAUUUAAGAAAGACAACAGAAAAUAUACUAUUGUAUGUAAUAUGACUCAUGCAGGCUUACUUUAAUCAUAGGACAACUUUAAAAUAUUGAUUAUUUUUAAAUAUUUGAGUUUGAAAUUUUAAACCAGAGUCAGGAAAUAAAUGUGUCCCCUUUUUAAAAUUAUUAUCUUGAAAAAUAUUAUUCCUGUGAAAUAGUAAAGAAAUUACUGUGAAAAUUUCUAAGGCCAUAGGUAGAUUCCUAAAACUUUGCAUUAUCCAUUGGUGAUAGAUCAGAAUGUGUGAGCCAAAUCCCCUCAGAUGUCCCUUUGCUGAUAUUAGAAGGCUCAUGACCCUUUUUAUGGUGAUGAAGAAUGUUUGUAUGUGUAGUAUUAGCAUUCCCUGUCCCCUCUUACUAAUGGAAGAGGCCAAAUUCCCCAACUUGGAAAGUUUACCAUAUAAGAAAUGUAACCAGGGGCUUUAAGCCACUGCUUAAAUAAACUUAACUUGGGUUUUGGCUGGAUUUUUUUGUUUGCACAAAGAGGUUCCUUUGUAGAUAAUCUAGAAGUCUUUUAUACAUAAUACACCCUAUCCACCUUAAAAUUAACCUCAUAUGAGUUAAUUAAGUGAGGGCUUACAGUAGCCAUACCAUUUUUAACGUUUCAGCAUAAGCUCUAGUGAAAGAAAUCUGAAAUCAGAUGUUGACUUGCUUAGGUGUGCUCGGUGGGAAGCUCUUAAGAACAGAAAACACUGAUCCCAGUGCUAGAAACAGACCCCGACAGAUACAAAGCUUUUGGACAAAUGAACAGCCUGAGAAAAGAUUCAGGAUGGAGCCAUGGCCUUCUGAAUGAAAGAGUUACCAGUUUUGUUCUUUUUCCUUGAAGGCUGUGUGGGAAGGGGUCUAAGAGAGCCUUCGCUCCUUCCAAAGAAGAGGACGCCAACCACUGGUGAGGAUUUGUCCUCGACAAAUUCAGAGAGAUCGUUCCUAGCGAACCUGUAUUUUUCUGUGUGAAUUCUGUUCCUCUAGUCAACUUUU